rnacentral:rRNA from 1 species
AGUUUGAUCCUGGCUCCAGGAUGACGGCUAGCGGCAGGCUUAACACAUGCAAGUCGAGGGGCAGCAUGUCCAGCAAUGGAUGAUGGCGACCGCGGAAGGGUGCGUAACGCGUGAGCAACAUGCCCUAUACAGGGAGAUACACCAGGGAAACUUGGUCUAAUAUCCCAUAGCAUUCAUUGAAGGCAUCUUUAAUGAAUUAAAGCUUCGGUGGUAUAGGAUUGGCUCGCGUGACAUUAGCCAGAUGGUGAGGUAACGGCUCACCAUAGCAAUGAUGUCUAGGGGUUUUGAGAGGAAGGCCCCCCACACUGGGACUGAGACACGGCCCAGACUCCUACGGGAGGCAGCAGUGAGGAAUAUUGGACAAUGGAUGGAAAUCUGAUCCAGCCAUGCCGCGUGCAGGAAGACGGCCUUAUGGGUUGUAAACUGCUUUUAUACGGGAGCAAUAAGGGUUACGAGUAAUCCGAUGAGAGUACUGUAUGAAUAAGGAUCGGCUAACUCCGUGCCAGCAGCCGCGGUAAUACGGAGGAUCCGAGCGUUAUCCGGAAUUAUUGGGUUUAAAGGGUGCGUAGGCGGCCAUUUAAGUCAGCGGUGAAAUUUUGCAGCUUAACUGUAACAGUGCCGUUGGUACUGUUUGGCUAGGAUUUGGUUGUAGUGUGCGGAAUGUGUGGUGUAGCGGUGAAAUGCUUAGAUAUCACACAGAACACCGAUUGCGAAGGCAGCACACUAAGUCAUUAUUGACGCUGAGGCACGAAAGUGUGGGGAUCAAACAGGAUUAGAUACCCUGGUAGUCCACACUGUAAACGAUGAAUACUAGGUGUAGGGGUUGUCACGACCUCUGUGCCGCCGCUAACGCAUUAAGUAUUCCGCCUGGGGAGUACGGUCGCAAGAUUAAAACUCAAAGGAAUUGACGGGGGCCCGCACAAGCAGCGGAGCAUGUGGUUUAAUUCGAAGCAACGCGAAGAACCUUACCUAGACUUGACAUCUCCUGCAUUACUCUUAAUCGAGGAAGUCCCUUCGGGGACAGGAUGACAGGUGGUGCAUGGUUGUCGUCAGCUCGUGUCGUGAGAUGUUGGGUUAAGUCCCGCAACGAGCGCAACCCUUAUUGUUAGUUGCUACCAUUUAGUUGAGCACUCUAGCGAGACUGCCCGGGUUAACCGGGAGGAAGGUGGGGAUGACGUCAAAUCAUCAUGCCCCUUAUGUCUAGGGCUACACACGUGCUACAAUGGCUGGUACAGAGAGAUGCGAUACCGCGAGGUGGAGCCAAACUUUAAAACCAGUCUCAGUUCGGAUUGUAGGCUGAAACUCGCCUACAUGAAGCUGGAGUUGCUAGUAAUCGCGAAUCAGAAUGUCGCGGUGAAUACGUUCCCGGGCCUUGUACUCACCGCCCGUCAAG